AAUCCACCAAUUCGUAUGUCGCUCUGGAUAAGAGCGUCUGCUAAAUGACUUAAA
rfam:Salmo salar isolate Sally breed double haploid chromosome ssa19, whole genome shotgun sequence.